UACGAGGGGGGCAAGCGUUGUUCGGAAUUAUUGGGCGUAAAGGGCGCGUAGGCGGUUUGAUAAGUCAGUGGUGAAAUCUCCGAGCUUAACUCGGAAACUGCCAUUGAUACUAUUUAUCUUGAAUAUUGUGGAGGUAAGCGGAAUAUGUCAUGUAGCGGUGAAAUGCUUAGAUAUGACAUAGAACACCAAUUGCGAAGGCAGCUUACUACACAAUGAUUGACGCUGAGGCACGAAAGCGUGGGGAUCAAACAGG
rnacentral:rRNA from 1 species